UGUCCUCCAUAGGAGGUCUAUAUUGAGCAGAUUCUUUUUGGUAUUGGGUGGUGGAACCGGAGUGUGCUCCAUCCACUCCAUGCAUUGACCUGGUAUUGCAGUGCUUCCAGGACCGGUGC
rnacentral:snRNA from 1 species